rnacentral:rRNA from 1 species
AGAGUUUGAUCCUGGCUCAGGAUGAACGCUGGCGGCGUGCCUAAUACAUGCAAGUCGAACGAGGUUAGCAAUAACCGAGUGGCGAACGGGUGAGUAACACGUAGGUAACCUGCCUUACAGUUUGGGAUACCCGAGGGAAACCUUGGCUAAUACCGAAUAAUUCUUCGAGAGGCAUCUCUUGAAGCUAAAAGGGGCCUUUAAAGCCUCGCUGAAUGAUGGACCUGCGGCGCAUUAGCUAGUUGGUGAGAUAACAGCCCACCAAGGCGAGGAUGCGUAGCCGACCUGAGAGGGUGAACGGCCACACUGGAACUGAGACACGGUCCAGACUCCUACGGGAGGCAGCAGUAGGGAGUUUUCGGCAAUGGGGGAAACCCUGACCGAGCAACGCCGCGUGAACGAUGAAGGUCUUCGGAUUGUAAAGUUCUGUUAUAAGGGAAGAAUGAUAUCUUGAGGAAAUGCUAGAUGUUUGACGGUACCUUAUUAGAAAGCCACGGCUAACUACGUGCCAGCAGCCGCGGUAAUACGUAGGUGGCGAGCGUUAUCCGGAAUUAUUGGGCGUAAAGAGUGAGCAGGCGGCAUGAUAAGUUUGAAGUGAAAGCGUGGGGCUUAACCCCAUACAGCUCCAAAAACUGUCAAGCUAGAGUGCGAGAGGGGCAAACGGAACUCCAUGUGUAGCGGUGAAAUGCGUAGAUAUAUGGAAGAACACCAGUGGCGAAGGCGGUUUGCUAGCUCGAUACUGACGCUCAGUCACGAAAGCGUGGGGAGCAAAUAGGAUUAGAUACCCUAGUAGUCCACGCCGUAAACGAUCUCAACUAAUAAUUGCUGUGAGGCAGUUAUGAAGCUAACGCAUUAAGUUGAGCGCCUGGGGAGUACGGUCGCAAGACUGAAACUUAAAGGAAUUGACGGGGACCCGCACAAGCAGUGGAGCAUGUGGUUUAAUUCGAUGCUACGCGAAGAACCUUACCAGGACUUGACAUGGAUUCAAAUGUUCUAGAGAUAGAAAGAUAGUUAUGGAUCACACAGGUGGUGCAUGGUUGUCGUCAGCUCGUGUCGUGAGAUGUUGGGUUAAGUCCCGCAACGAGCGCAACCCUUGUCCUUAGUUACC